UACGAAGGGGGCUAGCGUUACUCGGAAUCACUGGGCGUAAAGCGCACGUAGGCGGCUUUUUAAGUCAGGGGUGAAAUCCUGGAGCUCAACUCCAGAACUGCCUUUGAUACUGAGAAGCUUGAGUCCGGGAGAGGUGAGUGGAACUGCGAGUGUAGAGGUGAAAUUCGUAGAUAUUCGCAAGAACACCAGUGGCGAAGGCGGCUCACUGGCCCGGUACUGACGCUGAGGUGCGAAAGCGUGGGGAGCAAACAGG
rnacentral:rRNA from 1 species